CCUCAGACAGUUAUAUGGUU
rnacentral:snRNA from 1 species